rnacentral:rRNA from 1 species
ACGGAAGGCAGCAGUGAGGAAUAUUGGUCAAUGGGCGGAAGCUUGAACCAGCCAUGUCGCGUGAAGGAAUAAGGCACUACGGGUCUUAAACUGCUUUUGUAAGGGGAUAAAGUGGGGCAUGUAUGCCCUUUUGCAGGUACCUUGCGAAUAAGGAUCGGCUAACUCCGUGCCAGCAGCCGCGGUAAUACGGAGGAUGCGGGCGUUAUCCGGAUUUAUUGGGUUUAAAGGGUGCGUAGGCGGGCUGUUAAGUCAGCUGUGAAACCCCCGGGCUCAACCCGGGUCCUGCCAUUGAAACUGGCGGCCUUGAGUACGUUGGGAGUGCGCGGAAUGUGUGGUGUAGCGGUGAAAUGCAUAGAUAUCACACAGAACACCGAUCGCGUAGGCAGCGCACUACGCCGCAACUGACGCUGAUGCACGAAGGCGCGGGGAUCGAACAGGAUUAGAUACCCUGGUA